rnacentral:snoRNA from 1 species
CUCCUCUCAGGAUCGCACCUGGAGAGUUUCCAGGACUCUGCCAGUCUUGGCUACGGGAGGGAGAGAAAAGCAGAGGCCGACCCAUUCCAUUCCUAGCUUGGCCAGUGGCUAGCGAGUGGGAGGCGAUUUGCUACAAGU